GAUGAACGCUGGCGGCGUGCCUAAUACAUGCAAGUCGAGCGAACAGACGAGGAACUUGCUCCUCUGACGUUAGCGGCGGACGGGUGAGUAACACGUGGAUAACCUACCUAUAAGACUGGGAUAACUUCGGGAAACCGGAGCUAAUACCGGAUAGUAUAUUGAACCGCAUGGUUCAAUAGUGAAAGACGGUUUUGCUGUCACUUAUAGAUGGAUCCGCGCCGCAUUAGCUAGUUGGUAAGGUAACGGCUUACCAAGGCGACGAUGCGUAGCCGACCUGAGAGGGUGAUCGGCCACACUGGAACUGAGACACGGUCCAGACUCCUACGGGAGGCAGCAGUAGGGAAUCUUCCGCAAUGGGCGAAAGCCUGACGGAGCAACGCCGCGUGAGUGAUGAAGGUCUUCGGAUCGUAAAACUCUGUUAUUAGGGAAGAACAAAUGUGUAAGUAACUAUGCACGUCUUGACGGUACCUAAUCAGAAAGCCACGGCUAACUACGUG
rnacentral:rRNA from 1 species